rnacentral:lncRNA from 1 species
GGGGAGAAGAAGGACGUGGACAGCAAGCUUUUUGAUCUUGAAUCUUCAUCUUUUCUUUCUUUUCAGGCCAUUAACCCAAGGUAAGGGCUGGUUCUAGGAAUGGGUAGGUUCUUUAGGGAAUAUGCCAUGAAUUGCCAUGAGAAACAACUUGAGUUUUGGACUGUUUUUGCAUGAUUUCCUGUACAUGCUGGCUUGCUGGAAUUUUUCUCUUGAAAAGCCAUGAAUAUGAUCCUCAAACGUUGUUUAUGAUCUGAAUCUAUGAUUUUAUGCGAGUUGCCAUGGUAUUUGUUAAGUUUUGUGCUAUUUUGCACUUGUUAUAACAUGAUCCUUGCUACAUGUUUGGUUCUGAAAUUUUUAGUGGAUAUUUGGGUUGUUGGGGCUGUACCAAGAUUGCCAUGAUCAAAGGGGAAGGAAGGAAAAUUAUUUUUGAAAACCAUAGAGCCAUGGGAGUUUCGCUGCCAGUUUCCUGUACUGGACAGCGGACUUCAGAGCCCCUUUUUACCUGUUUAAGGUCAUCAAAUGAAAAAGUGAUUAAAAUGAAAGUUGUAGAUUUUCGAAAUAUCUUUCCAGACAUAUAAAAAUCAUAAUUUUUGGUUUAGUAAUGUGAUCUGGGGGUCGUGUUUAGUAACUGUCACACCUGCUGUUUUUCCUGUUCCGGACAGUUAGCUUUAAGGCCUAAUAUCACCUAAUUCUGGGACUCAAAUGAACAAGUGUGUAACUAGAGAGUUGUAGAUAUUUAAAAUAGCUUUCUAGAAACGUAUCAUACGUGAUUUUUGGUUGAAAGAUGCAUUCUGUGGAUCUAUUUUUGUGAAAGUUGUUUCUGCUGUCAAUAUGUUGAAGUUGCGAUGAUAUAUUAUGCAUGAGUGAAUGUUCUUGCGUUCCUUUACGUGGAUUAUAUUUAUUUUCUCAGUUAAUGGUUCAAGGGUCGCUCACCUAGCCGUAAUUCCCUUGUAACCCGUGAAUGUUGUGUUGUGAAGGUUGUUGUAUAAAGAGUAUGAUAAGACUCUAGGAUUGACUUUAGAGACUUAACAAAGAGAAAAGUGUAAUAAACUCGCUUGCAAGUAAAUGUGAAUAAUUUAGACAUAGGUCAGGUAGACUAUGGUCCAUGAGAACGAUGGUACCUUGCACGCGAGGGAGUUAUUUGGGUUGACUGCGGUCUCCCGUGAACCUUGUGGGCCGGUGUGGCUUCACGUGAUUUGGUUGACUGUGGUCACCGUGAACUUUUGUGGAUCAUUGCGGCUCCACGUGAAUUGGUUGACUGCGGUCACCGUGAUAACCGUGCCUCUGCGGAAGCACGAAGAUGGCCAUGGAAGCUUUGGUGGGUUGUGUGAAGUGAGAUUCCGUUAGUAACUGACUCUUUCCCAUAAAAGACAUAUAAUGUACUUAUAUUAUAUAUGUUGUUGUUGAUUUUGUCAUUAUCAUUCUUUUUGUUGGACCUGACCCUGCUUGUUUGCUAUGUGUUUAUUUGGGGGGGGGGUAGAUGGUCGUGAAGAUAAUGGCGAUGACUCAUUCUUGGGAGUUGAUGCUACGUGACGUGCCAAUACCGGAGGACGACUACACUUCAGAGGAAGAGGAAGAGGCUAAGGAAUAGGGUUUGGGUUGAGAGUCUUUUGUUUUCUGUUGGGGUUGAGAGUUUCCGAAGUGUUGGUAUCGAACAAUUUUAUUGCUUAAAUUCGAAUGAACAAGUUUUGAUGUAAUCUUUAUUUUCAUUCAGGCCUUUGAUUCGUACUCUUUACAGUUGGUUAUUUAAAAAGUUUUACGAUGUUGGUUACUUCCGCGUGUUUUUGGAAAGGUUAUGUUUC